AUGAUUGAAUGGGUUCAAGUUCUCGCCGUGUUAAUGCUCUGUCCCCACCAUACAAACGGGGACCCUGUCCUGACUAAACCAAGGUCCAUCUCUACAUCCGCGGGCAGAACCGUCUCGAUCACAUGUAUUAUGUGCAGAGACAGCAGCAGCGACAGCUACUCCGAAAGGUGGUAUUGGCAGAAACCCGGCAGCACCCCUGUGUUUAUUUGGUACGGGAGCUCCACGAGAGAGUCGCGUGUUCCUGAACGAUUUACCGGGUCUGUGGACUCAUCGAGCAACAAGAAACAGUUCACCAUCAGCAACAUGAAAUCGGAGGAAGCCGCUGAUUAUUACUGCAGUGUAGAGAAUAACGGAAUAUUCACCUUCGGUAGAGGGACGAAGCUGAACCUAGGCGGUAAAAAAAAGUAUUUGCAAUCCGAAGUUUGGAGCUUGCCAGCAGCAGUUUUCGAUUAG